rnacentral:rRNA from 1 species
GACGAACGCUGGCGGCGUGCCUAAUACAUGCAAGUAGAACGCUGAAGGAGGAGCUUGCUUCCCUGGAUGAGUUGCGAACGGGUGAGUAACGCGUAGGUAACCUGCCUGGUAGCGGGGGAUAACUUUUGGAAACGAUAGCUAAUACCGCAUAACAGUAGAUAUCGCAUGAUAUCUACUUGAAAGGUGCAAUUGCUUCACUAGCAGAUGGACCUGCGUUGUAUUAGCUAGUUGGUGAGGUAACGGCUCACCAAGGCGACGAUACAUAGCCGACCUGAGAGGGUGAGUGGCCAGACUGGGAGUGAGACACGGCCCAGACGCCUACGGGAGGCAGCAGUAGGGAAACUUCAGCAAUGGACGGAAGUCUGACCGAGCAACGCCGCGUGAGUGAAGAAGAUUUUCGGAUCGUAAAGCUCUGUUGUAAGAUAAGAACGAGUGUGAGAGUGGAAAGUUCACACUGUGACGGUAUCUUACCAGAAAGGGACGGCUAACUACGUG